AGAGAGUAAAACUGCCUGUGAACAAGAAUGCUUAAGUGGACAAUGGUAAAUCUGACAGAAAAGCAGGGUCAGAGCAAAACAAUUGCAAAGCUCAGAGUGUAAACUGCAUGUCCUCAGGUCAAGCAGAGGAUGAAAAGCAGAACAAUCUCCUCAUUCAAGAAACUUCCUGGCGGCCAGCAAGCUGAGUAAUGAGAAACAAACUGAGUGGAGGCCUUCCACAGAGGGUUAAGCAUCUGAAAGGCCAGAAUGAUUCAGCGUUCCCUGAAGAAGAAGAAGGCACCAAUGAAAGAGAGGAGCAGCGGGACCAUUAAUUACUGGUCUGCAGCAAGAAGGCUUCUUGGAAAUAACUGAACUAUUAACUUUUCUGAGUAUACCAUGGAAUUCCACUGCUUGGCUUCCAGAAGCAUCCUCCAUCUCUGCACCCUGCACUCAUACAGUAGCUAUGCACAUCCUGGAAGUCUCCUUGACUGAACUUUAGAACUAAGUACACAUAGUUCCACAUCACUUACAAUUAAAGAAUAAGCAUUUAUUUUACAGUGAUUCUUCUUUUUAACUAUGUAAAAAUUUGCAGAUGUGACUGUUCUAACUUUAAUACUGCCAGAGCUUAAUCCUUGAUGUCUUACUGAUAAGGUUUGCAUUCUAACAACACAUGUAAAUAACACCACUUUAAGAGUAAAAAAUAAAUAUUAAACACAUUUAGACAUAAGUGUGUGUGUGUGUGUGUGUGUGUGUGUGUGUGUGUGUGUGUGGGUUUAACUUAAAGAGAAAUAUCUAAUAAAACUUUUAGCUUAAGAUUUGCAUUGAUCAUAUUUCUGUAUCCAGAACAGAACACAAUGUUCAUUUUUAAAGAAGAAAUGCCAGUUUUCUUGAUUCAAUACACCACAAUAUUAGAUACUAAACAUCCUUUUCCCACCAACAACACAUUAAUGGUUGGCUAUAAAACUACAGA
rnacentral:sRNA from 1 species